rnacentral:lncRNA from 1 species
CCCCAGGAUGAAGGCCUACGGCUCAGAAAGGUAGCACAUUCGGAUAAACCUGGAUCCACCUCAGCCGUGUCCUUCAGAGAUAAUGUCACCAGUCCUCUUCCUUCUCUUCUGGUUGUAAUUGCAGCCAUUUUCAUUGGAUUCUUUCUAGGGAAAUUCAUCUUGUAGAGUGAAGCAUGCAGAGUGCUGUUUCUUUUUUCUUUUCUCUCGACCAGAAAAAGAUUUGUUUACCUACCAUUUCAUUGGUAGUAUGGCCCGCGGUGACCAUGGCCCGUGGUGACCAUUUUUUUUUGUGUGUACAGCGUCAUAUAGGCUUUGCCUUUAAUGAUCUCUUACGGUUAGAAAACACAAUAAAAACAAACUGUUCGGCUACUGGACAAAUUGUAUAUUACCAGAUCAUCACUAGCAGAUGCCAGUCGCACAUCCAGUCCUUUAUGAAAUUCAUAAUAAAGAAUUGUUCUUUCUUUGUGGUUUUAAUAAGAGUUCAAGAAUUGUUCAGUCUUGUAAAUGUUAUUUUAAUAAUCCCUUUAAAUUUUAUCUGUUGCUGUUACCUCUUGAAAUAUGAUUUAUUUAGAUUGCUAAUCCCACUCAUUCAGGAAAUGCCAAGAGGUUUUCUGUGGGGGAAAUGGUGCCUCUUACUGUGUAAAUUUUCUCCUUUACCUUUGCUAAUAUCAUGGCAGAAUUUUCUUAUCCCUUGUGAGGCAGUUUGUUGACUGAGUUUUUCAUCCUUACAAUCCUGUCCCAUGGUAUUUAACAUAAAAAAUAAAACUGUUAACAGAUUCUUGCUCGAC